UACGGAGGAUCCAAGCGUUGUCCGGAUUUACUGGGUUUAAAGGGUGCGUAGGUGGAUUGGUAAGUCAGUGGUGAAAUCUCUGGGCUUAACUCAGAAACUGCCAUUGAUACUAUCAGUCUUGAAUACCGUGGAGGUCAGCGGAAUAUGUCAUGUAGCGGUGAAAUGCUUAGAUAUGACAUAGAACACCAAUUGCGAAGGCAGCUGGCUACACGAAUAUUGACACUGAGGCACGAAAGCGUGGGGAGUCAAACAGGA
rnacentral:rRNA from 1 species